AGAACUGUGCCCGAAUGAUUAGGGGUCACUUUGAUGGAGUGAACAUAGGGGUUAAAUCCCCCUCAGCUCUU
rnacentral:tRNA from 1 species